rnacentral:lncRNA from 1 species
AGUGGUUUGAGAUCUAUUUCAAUAAGUUAAUCUAAUCGAUCCUAAUCUAUCAAUUUGAUGUCUGAGGUAAGUAUUUAGAUGGUGGUUAUUUAAUUGGUUUCGUUGUCUGAUCUGAUCAAUUUUGAUUGAUGUCUAAGGAAAGCAAUAGGGGGACCUCCAUGCACCUUAACUUAUUUGGCCAUAUUGAGAGAUUCAGUUUCAUAUUAGGUUACUUGUUGACUUGAGUUCACCCAUGCCGACUAAACUGGUUAGACAUAUUGAUGUCCUGACCUAAUUUAAUCAGUUGAAUAUCAUAUCUGCUGAUUUAGAAGAGACCUAAAUCCAAAUAUCCUUAUUAAAUAUUAAGUCUAGAAGUCUUCCAUCAUUGUAAAGAUGCAGGUGCCUUCUUGGU